AACUUUCUCCACUUUAGCUGCAGUGUUAAUUGCAAGAGUGAGCAAAUAAAUGCUCACUAAUAUAGAACGUAGCAAUGAUAAUAACAUGAGAGUGAACAACGAAAGCUGAACAAUAAGGAACUUGUUCCACAAAUCAAAAUAGAAAACAAGUUUGAACUUUAAUUAUUUGAAGGUCUUAAGACCACGAACUAUGUCCCGGGUACUUAGGUAUUAUUACCCAACCUUAACAGUCAUUUAGACUAUACGGACCCUUCUUAACGUACUUAGGGAGAUCAGCCCUUUGUACCAUGUAUUGUGCACAAACAUCUAAACGUUACACGUACAAAAUCCCCUAUGUUAGGGUUGUUCGUCUCAGUUUGGAGUUAGAAUUUCUGCACUAAAGAAAGUUUAGUUUGGAACUAGCUUAUCAGUGUUUCUAGAAUUUUAGAACACUAUUCGAUUUACAUCAGUAAAGGUUUGAUACAAGAGUUUAUAACUGAACAAGACUAUUUAGAUCAAAGAUUAAUAACAACAGUAUAUAUUUAGGUAAACAUGGAAUUCAUGCAAAGUGCUACAUUCAAAUGAGUUAGGACAAUCUCAUUUAAAGCAAUGAAUUAAAGCAUUACAAAUUCUGAAUAAUGAGAAACAAAAAUGUGAAACUCAUUCGAGGUAACGAAACAGGUCACAAGAGUUUAUACAAACAUAUUAAAGAUAGAUUAGGCUUGCUCAAUUUUAAGAACUUGCACAAUAAUAUUAUAGAAAUGGAGACUUGCAUUCAAUACGAAAAGAAUGAAGUUAGAAAGCUUUGCUAAAUGUAAAGAGUUAAGAUUUAAGAACUUGCUCAAUCGUAAGGAGAUAAGGUUUAGAAACUUGCACAAUUAUAAAAGUAGGGUUAGAGAACUUGCUUUGAUUGUAAGCUACACAAAUGUAAAAUAAUCUUAAUUAUCCUACACAUAUCAUUGAAAUCGCAAUAAUAAUUAAUUGCAUGAAUAUUAGCUUUAACCAUCAUUAAGGUCAUAACCCUAACCUAGCACCUAACCACGUUAGUUAACACCUUAACGAUUCUGAAAUCACACUAUAAACCUUAUCAUUUAUAUUCAACUUUUGAAAACAUCACAUUUGGUUC
rnacentral:lncRNA from 1 species